UACGGGGGGAGCAAACGUUGUUCGGAAUCACUGGGCGUAAAGGGCGUGUAGGCGGCUGAAUAAGUGGGAUGUUAAAUCCCCCGGCUCAACCGGGGACCUGCAUCUCAUACUGUUCAGCUCGAGCACAUCAGAGGAGACUGGAAUUCAUGGUGUAGCAGUGAAAUGCGUAGAGAUCAUGAGGAAGACCAGUGGCGAAGGCGGGUCUCUGGACAGUUCCUGACACUGAGACACGAAGGCCAGGGGAGCAAACGGG
rnacentral:rRNA from 1 species